rnacentral:snRNA from 1 species
AGAUGUGAGGGUGACAUGGCUGCAACAUCUGUCAUCCCAUUGAUUUCCAGGGUGGAUUUGACUAACCUGGCCAGCUAGAAGGGCACCUCCUUCCUCCCUCACUGCUUCACGCGCCUUCCUCUAGAAACUGUGCGCUUGGUUUACCAUCAAGAUGACUGAUUAGUAGAGGAUGGGUCUUUGGUCAAUAGUAUACAAGCAGCUACUAGAUCAAACUCGAGAAUUCUUAUAUAAUUGAGAUGCAAGCACAUUAUCUUUUUUU